CUGCGAUAAGCGCCGGUAAGGUGAUAUGAACCGUUAUAACCGGCGAUACCCGAAUGGGGAAACCCAGUGUGACUCGUCACACUAUCAUUAACUGAAUCCAUAGGUUAAUGAGGCGAACCGGGGGAACUGAAACAUCUAAGUACCCCGAGGAAAAGAAAUCAACCGAGAUUCCCCCAGUAGCGGCGAGCGAACGGGGAGGAGCCCAGAGCCUGAAUCAGCAUGUGUGUUAGUGGAAGCGUCUGGAAAGGCGCGCGAUACAGGGUGACAGCCCCGUACACAAAAGCGCAUGUGCUGUGAGCUCGAUGAGUAGGGCGGGACACGUGGUAUCCUGUCUGAAUAUGGGGGGACCAUCCUCCAAGGCUAAAUACUCCUGACUGACCGAUAGUGAACCAGUACCGUGAGGGAAAGGCGAAAAGAACCCCGGCGAGGGGAGUGAAAAAGAACCUGAAACCGUGUACGUACAAGCAGUGGGAGCACAGGUUUACCUGUGUGACUGCGUACCUUUUGUAUAAUGGGUCAGCGACUUAUAUUCUGUAGCAAGGUUAACCGAAUAGGGGAGCCGGAGGGAAACCGAGUCUUAAUUGGGCGUUAAGUUGCAGGGUAUAGACCCGAAACCCGGUGAUCUAGCCAUGGGCAGGUUGAAGGUUGGGUAACACUAACUGGAGGACCGAACCGACUAAUGUUGAAAAAUUAGCGGAUGACCUGUGGCUGGGGGUGAAAGGCCAAUCAAACCGGGAGAUAGCUGGUUCUCCCCGAAAGCUAUUUAGGUAGCGCCUCGUGAAUUCAUCUCCGGGGGUAGAGCACUGUUUCGGCUAGGGGGCCAUCCCGGCUUACCAACCCGAUGCAAACUGCGAAUACCGGAGAAUGUUAUCACGGGAGACACACGGCGGGUGCUAACGUCCGUCGUGAAGAGGGAAACAACCCAGACCGCCAGCUAAGGUCCCAAAGUCAUGGUUAAGUGGGAAACGAUGUGGGAAGGCCCAGACAGCCAGGAUGUUGGCUUAGAAGCAGCCAUCAUUUAAAGAAAGCGUAAUAGCUCACUGGUCGAGUCGGCCUGCGCGGAAGAUGUAACGGGGCUAAACCAUGCACCGAAGCUGCGGCAGCGACACUGUGUGUUGUUGGGUAGGGGAGCGUUCUGUAAGCCUGUGAAGGUGUGUCGUGAGGC
rnacentral:rRNA from 1 species